rnacentral:tRNA from 1 species
ACAGUGGUGGCUCAGUGGUAGAAUUCUUGCCUUCCACGCAGGAGACCUGGGUUCAGUUUCUGGCCAGUGCA